ACAAAGCAUCAACAGGGGGACUGUUAAUAAUAAGCAUCAAUCUCUUGUUGAAAGGAACAUAGCAAUAUAAUAAUACUGAAAACAAUGGCAGAUGACAGAAGGCCAGAUAUCAAAUAAUAAGAUGUCAGAGCCCUGAAAAGCCUAAGAGUUUAAUCAUGAUUCCGUAGAACUCCAGGAGAGGUUUGCUAUUUUUUGCAAAGAAUGCAGGAUUCGAUCAUGGCUAUGCUUGAUUUAACAGGUUCUAAUGGACAAUAUUCUGAAUGUAAGGUAGAGUGAGAAAGCUAAGAAUUGGGUGAGGAAGCUAAUAAGGUUGAUAUACAUGCUAAUCAGAAGUAAAAUAUGAAUUUAUCAGGAAUACAUUUCCUCUGCAAUUUAUCCUGGCACAAUCCUGGUUGAGACAGUGACACACUCUCACUCAACUAGUUCAACUAAAUGUUCAUAUGUUUUAGCAGGUGCAUAUGAGACAUGCAAAGAAAUUUGGAAGUGACUGAAGAACUGGAAAUUUUUUCCUUGUGCUCAGAAAUAUUUAGCAAUCACUCCAUAUACUUGUCAAAAAGAUAGUUCAGGAGUGGCUUGAUGACAUGGAGUACAUGCUUCAGAACACCUUGCACCUUUUCUGUCACCUGCGAGAAAUGUAUUGCUUCAUUAUUCAGAAUGAAAAGCCCUUUGGAGAUGAUGAAGACAUCGGAUUUUAUAUACUGGUGGACUGUUCUCUGCUGAGGGCCACAUACACAGAACAAUGUAUAAAUGCAUCAGGGGCUAAAAAAUGAAGAGAUGAGCUGUUGCAGUCUCCAGGACAGUUCAAAAAUCGUAGUUAAAAGCACAUAACAACAACCUAACCUUGAACUUGGAAACAUCACUGUCCUAAGUGUAAACUAGCUAUGAAGGAUAACAUGGAGAGAGAGAGGAUUUAUGCCACAGCAGGGAAUAUGUGGGCCAAUGACAGGGAUACAUCAUCUCUCCCAAAUCCUGGUUGUACCCAACUUGUCAGUACCAGUUACAGCUACUGUGCAUAUAGUAUUAAUGCUUUUCUGUUAAAUCAAGCAGAUCUUCUGUUGUGAUCUAAUGAAUUCACUUUCCAUAAUUAAAAUUAUUAAAAAGUCUUUGUUGAUGGUAUCUGACAUAACUAAGAACACUGAAAGGCAUUUUCUGCAGGAGAACCCUCACCAAUAUUUGUCUGCAUUCUGCUGGCUCCCUGUGGUUUUAGUAAUACUAACAAAAUAGAACCUUAAUUUUAGAGGUUGGUCAGCUGUAGCAAAUAAACGUCAAAAGCAAUGAAAUGAGCUUACUGAAAACACACAAGAUUUCCUUUUAAAAAACCUAGGGAAACAUAAAAAGAUCAGAAACUUCUUGCCUCAAACAUGUAUCCAGAAUCAUCGAGUUCUAACUGAUGUUUUAAUACCAGAAUAGCAGCAAUAUAUUCUUCAGAUUUUCUUCACAACAGGAAGAGUUCAGUUAUUUGAGGCAGUUAAGGAAAAUCACAGAUCACACCAGCACUCCAAGCACUACUGCUGAACAAGAUAGCAGAUUGCCAUAUUGCUUCUUUCCUUGCUUCUUGCAGCACUGCACAUAAAUAGUCUGCAGAAUAAAUGUUUCGCUUCAGAGUGGAAUUUUCUCCAUUCAUCAUCUGAUUAUUUUAUAAUUUUAUUAAUUAUAG